rnacentral:lncRNA from 1 species
AAAAAUUUGAAAAUUGAGCUACAAAAUGCAUAUCAUACAUAAAGUAUUAUUUGUGACUUCAUAUUUGAAAUAGUUCAUCAAAAUGAUAGCAAUAAUGGAACUAAAUUACUGCUACCUUAUUGAAUUUGUUAUCCUUGAUUUUGUGUAUUUGUAUACACUAUGCUAUGCCCCAGCAGAGAUGAAAUUUGAAAAAAAUAGGCAAGACAGGAGUUUUGAGAAAAAAAAAGGCAGGAUGAGCAACUUGGUAAAAAAAAAGGCAGGAUGACAAUUUGUGUAAAAAAAAGUCAGGAUAAACUAGUAAAAAAAAAAAGGCAGGACCGAAUAGAGUAAAAAAUAAAAAGGCAGGACAGGGAUUACAACUAAAUAAAAAAGCAGGACAAAAUUUUUCAUCAUAGCCCCC